AUUCAGACACAGGCAGACGGGGAAACAAGUAGCACCAAACAGCCAUUUUGUCUACCAUCACGGGAAUUUUUCCAACCUUUACAAGAGACUCAGCCAAGACACAUUCCUGGAAAUUCAAUUCCUCGCCAGGCGGGUGUACACAUCCAGAUGUCUCGCUCAUCACCUUUCAAACAGGGGAGACAGUAAUGCGACUUGGUCACACCAGCCUCUCAGCCAGAGAAGAAUAUUUAUUGCAGCCCCUACAAGAUUGUAUAUCUGUCAUCUCUCUCAGCACAUUUAAUGGUAGAAGUGAAUAGACUAUGUUAAUCGUGUUUGGCACGGACGAAGAAGCCCACCAUGCAUGACGCAACCAUCUUCCUGAUAUAUCUAGGCGUUUUACCCACCUCGAUAUAUAGCAUGAAAAAUAUAAUGCCUUAUACGGCGUGACACUGAUAAUACCCGUCAAUUGACACCCAUUUAGAGGAGGAAAAUCCUUUUUAUGUUAGACUGUAUGCAGGAAAACUUCAUGAAUAUUGUGCGUAUGAAAUUCCCUGUGAUUUAUCUUUUCACCCUGCUGUUUUAUCCGGGAAUAAUGUUUGUCCCCGUUUAGAUAGAACCUUUCAUGGAUUAAUCUGUUUAUUUUGUGCCGGCUACGUAUGCAUGCAGGGAGAACACUUAAAUGUAUAUGUGUAGUACUGAGUGCGAGGGACGUCGGUGAAUUAACGGUGAAUUUGUUGCGCUUUUAAAGUUUAAAUGGCAAUUUCAUCAGUCAAAAGCUGUCAACAACAUCAGUUAAUUGCUAACAACAAUAUUGUAUCAGUUCAGAACCUUGUAUAAUUGUACUAUAUAUACACCUUGCAUAAUUGUAAAUUUUGUGCACGGAAUUAUAAUAUGACUUUUCAAA